GUUUGGCUGUUCGCCAAUUAAAAAGGUACGUGAGCUGGGUUCAGACCGUCGUGAGACAGGUUGGACUCCUAUCUACUACACCCGUUGAUUCUUGAGGGGGGUUCUUCCUAGUACGAGAGGACCGGAAGGAGGCGACCUCUGGUUUGCCUGCUCUGCCGCCAGGCGGAACGCAGGGUGGCUAAGUCGCUAAGUGAUAAGCGCUGAAAGCAUCUAAGCGCGAAGCAUGCCCCAAGAUUAGGAAUUAUUGAUUCCUCGAAGACUACGAGGUUGAUAGGCUCUAGGUGUAAGAUCCGCAAGGAUUUAAGCCGAGGAGUACUAAUAGAUCAAAC
rnacentral:rRNA from 1 species